AGGGUUUGAUUGCGGCUCAGAUUGAACGCUGGCGGGAUGCUUACACAUUACAAGUCAGACGGCGACACGGACUUCGGUCUGAAGUGGCGAGUGAACGGGUGAGUAAUGUCUGGAACGUGCCUAGUAGCGGGGAUAACUACGCGAAAGCGUAGCUAAUACCGCAUAUACGCCCUUCGAGGAAACGGGGACCUUUGGGCCUCUGUUUUCUUGAAGCAGCCGAUAUCGGAUUAGCUGAGUUGGUGAGUAACGACUCAUGCGGGCGACGAUCGUAGCUGGUUUGGAGGGACGACCGAGCCACGCAGGACUGAGACACAAUGCCCAGACUCCUGCAGGAGACAACAGUGGGAGUGGACAUCAGGAAGCACUGGUCCAGCCAUCCCGCAGUAUUGCGAUGAAGGCCUUCCGGGUUUUAGCAAGCACUUUUGGCAGGAAAGAAACGGCACGGGAUAAUACCCCAUGCACAGCGUACAACUGACACCUGCAGAAUAAGCACCGGCUAACUACGUACCAGCAGCCGCGGUAAUACGUAGGGUGCAAGCGUUGGUCGGAAUUACUGGGCGUCACAAGCGUGCGCAGGCGGUUCGGGGAAAAGAUGUAGAAAUCCAGAAACGCUGACUUUGGAACUGCACAUUUUUAACUACCGAGAGCUGCGGAGUGUGUCAGAGGUGAAGUGCGCGUGUGAGUAGAAAUGCGUAAGAUAUGCGGAGGAACACCAAAUGGCGAAGGCAGCCUCCUGGGAUAACCAUAGACGUAUCAUGCACGAAAGCGUGGGGAACAAACAGGAUUAGAUACCCUGGUAGUCCACGCCCUAAGCAAUGUCAACUAGCUGUUGGGGCCUUCGGGCCUUGGUAGCGCAGCCGCGUGAGUUGAUGCGCCUGGGGAGUACGGUCGCAAGAUUAAAACUCAAGGAAUUCCGAGCGGGAUGCCGCACCAGGCAGUGGAUGAUGUGGAUUAAUUCGAUGCAGCGAAAACCUUACCUACCCUUGAGCAUACAGGUCCCGAAGUUUGCGGGAGUGCUCAUGAAGGAACCGGAACGCUGAGUGCUGCAUAGCUGUCGUCAGCUCGUGUCUGAGAUGUUGAAGUUCAAGUCCGCAGCGAGCGUGGCCCUUGUCAUUGGUUGAGAACAUCAGGCGAGACUGCCGAUGACAAACCGGAGGAAGGUGGGGAUGACGUCGAUCCUCAAGCAUAUGGGUAGGGCUUCACACGUCAUACAAUGGUCAGGACAGAGGGCCGCCAACCACAGGAGGAGCCAAUCCCAGAAACCCGAUCAUAUUCGUGGAUCACCGGUCUAACAUCGGCCUGCGGCCAGGUCCAGAUCGCUAGUAAUCGCGGAUCAGCAUGUGAUGAACCUGUUGUUGGAGUCAUGUACGCCGCCCGUCACACCAUGGGAAUUGGGUUUUGCAGAAAGUAGUUAGCCUAACCGUAAGGAGGGCGAUUACCACGAUGGAUUCAUUGACCGGGUGAAGUCGUAACAAAGGCAGA
rnacentral:rRNA from 1 species